CUCGCAGUUAAAAACACAUUAGUGGACGACACUGCCAGAUCCAUCACCUGGACUAGAAGGACCUAUUAUGAAAAGGCCAAUAAGAUGGAUUCUCUGAUGGCCAGGACACUCAGACCCAGACAGAGACACCCACACAUUACAAGAAUUAAAGACGAACAAGGUCAUAUAAACAAUUCUCCAUCCGACCACAUUAAACCACAUUAGGCAAAACACCAAAUGACAUCU